rnacentral:rRNA from 1 species
GAACCAAAGGGAGCUUGCUCCCAGAGGUUAGCGGCGGACGGGUGAGUAACACGUGGGCAACCUGCCUGUAAGACUGGGAUAACUCCGGGAAACCGGGGCUAAUACCGGAUAACUCCACACUCUGCAUGGAGMGUGGAUAAAAGAUGGCUCCGGCUAUCACUUACAGAUGGGCCCGCGGCGCAUUAGCUAGUUGGUGAGAUAGAAGCUCACCAAGGCGACGAUGCGUAGCCGACCUGAGAGGGUGAUCGGCCACACUGGGACUGAGACACGGCCCAGACUCCUACGGGAGGCAGCAGUAGGGAAUCUUCCGCAAUGGACGAAAGUCUGACGGAGCAACGCCGCGUGAGUGAUGAAGGUUUUCGGAUCGUAAAGCUCUGUUGUGAGGGAAGAACAAGUGCCGUUUGAAUAAGGCGGCACCUUGACGGUACCUCACCAGAAAGCCACGGCUAACUACGUGCCAGCAGCCGCGGUAAUACGUAGGUGGCAAGCGUUGUCCGGAAUUAUUGGGCGUAAAGCGCGCGCAGGCGGUCUCUUAAGUCUGAUGUGAAAUCUCGUGGCUCAACCACGAACGGUCAUUGGAAACUGGGAGACUUGAGUACAGAAGAGGAGAGUGGAAUUCCACGUGUAGCGGUGAAAUGCGUAGAGAUGUGGAGGAACACCAGUGGCGAAGGCGACUCUCUGGUCUGUCACUGACGCUGAGGCGCGAAAGCGUGGGGAGCAAACAGGAUUAGAUACCCUGGUAGUCCACGCCGUAAACGAUGAGUGCUAGGUGUUAGGGGUUUCGAUGCCCUUAGUGCCGAAGUUAACACAUUAAGCACUCCGCCUGGGGAGUACGACCGCAAGGUUGAAACUCAAAGGAAUUGACGGGGGCCC